GUCCUAAUAGCUUAGCUUUAAUAGCGCCGGUCUUGUAAGCCGGAGAUCGAGGGUUAAAACCCCUCUUAGUACU
rnacentral:tRNA from 1 species